rnacentral:rRNA from 1 species
CGCCUCUUGAACCCCAUAAGAGGUCCAGCCUGCCCAGUGACCCUGUUCAACGGCCGCGGUAUCCUAACCGUGCGAAGGUAGCGUAAUCACUUGUUCUCUAAAUGUGGACUAGUAUGAAUGGCAUCACGAAGGUUAUACUGUCUCCUUUUUCUAAUCAGUGAAACUAAUCUCCCCGUGAAGAAGCGGGGAUAAAACUAUAAGACGAGAAGACCCUAUGGAGCUUUAAACAAUGCAGCAUCUGCCCCAUAACACUAAAAUUUCCGAAUUUAAACUCCCUGGACAGUGUGACUGCACGUUUUUGGUUGGGGUGACCACGGAGCAUAAUAUAACCUCCAUGCUGAAAGAAUCUUUCUAAGCUAAGAACCACAAAUCAAGCAUCAUAAGAUUGACAUUCAUUUGACCCAAUAUACUUGAACAACGAACCUGUUACCCUAGGGAUAACAGCGCAAUCCACUUCAAAAGCUCCUAUCGACAAGUGGGUUUACGACCUCGAUGUUGGAUCAGGGUCUUCCCAGUUGGUGCAGCCGCUACUAAAGGUCCGUUUGUUCAACGAUUAAAACCCU